CCUCCCGGCCGCCCGCCCGUCGCCCGCCGCCCGCUUGGCCUCGGCCGCGCUGGAUGUGUGCAGGCGCUGGCGCUCGGCCGCCCCGGAGCUGCCGCCCGUACGGAUUUGGUUGGCGUGCCUCCGCUUUCAGACUUUCACCUGGAAAGGAGAGACUCGCGCAGACGGAGCCCGGUCGGAGUUGGGCGUUUUCUCUUCGUGUGUUUGGCUGGCUUUCCCCCUGGUCUCUGACGAUCCCCCAUCGUGAGCCUUGCUCUGGAACCAAACCAUGAACUUGGGGCUGACAGGACUGCUUAACCCUUUACGACCAGGCCUCAGAUGCCAGCUCUGAAAAACUCUUCAAUACUGUUAUUGUAAACAAAGAUCCGGAGCUCGGUGUCGGCGCGCUACCCGAACACGACGGCCACGAUGCAGGGCCCAUUGUCCCCAAGAUAUCGGGUCUAGAGAGGAGCCAGGAGAAGAGCCAGGACUGCGGCAAAGAGCCCAUCUUUGAGCCCGUGGUGCUGAAAGACCCCCGUCCUCAGGUCCCGCCGCCGCCGCCCCAGCCCCAGGCGGAGCCCCCGCCCCGAGCGCCUUCUCCGGACCCCGCCUCGGGGCCGCGCGCUGAGCCCCCGCCGCC